rnacentral:rRNA from 1 species
AUUGAACGCUGGCGGCAGGCCUAACACAUGCAAGUCGAACGAGUGGCGGACGGGUGAGUAAUGUCUGGGAAAGUGCCCGAUGGAGGGGGAUAACUACUGGAAACGGUAGCUAAUACCGCAUACCAUCGGAUGUGCCCAUAUGGGAUUAGCUCGUAGGUGGGGUAAAGGCUCACCAAGGCGACGAUCCCUAGCUGGUCUGAGAGGAUGACCAGCCACACUGGAACUGAGACACGGUCCAGACUCCUACGGGAGGCAGCAGUGGGGAAUAUUGGACAAGGGGGGCAAGCCUGAUGCAGCCAUCCCGCGUGUAUGACGAAGGCCUUCGGGUUGUAAAGUACUUUCAGCGGGGAGGCGUUACCCGCAGAAGAAGCACCGGCUAACUACGUGCCAGCAGCCGCGGUAAUUC